UCCAAUCGAACUCGGAGAUAGCUGGUUCUCCCCGAAAUAGCUUUAGGGCUAGCCUGAGGUAGUAAGUAUAGGCGGUAGAGCACUGAUCGGGCUAGGGGCCGUAAAGGUUACCGAACCCUGUCAAACUCCGAAUGGAUAUACUGUAGAGCCUUGGAGUCAGACUACGAGUGAUAAGAUCCGUGGUCAAAAGGGAAACAGCCCAGACCACCAGCUAAGGUCCCCAAUGUCGUACUAAGUGGAAAAGGAUGUGGGGUUUCAUAAACAACCAGGAUGUUGGCUCAGAAGCAGCCACCAUUUAAAGAGUGCGUAAUAGCUCACUGGUCGAGAGACCCUGCGCCGAAGAUUCCCGGGGCUAAAGUACGAAACCGAAGCUGUGGCUGUAUACGUAAAGUAUACGGGGUAGGGGAGCGUUCCCAUAGGGUAGAAGUCGAACUGGAAGGUUCGGUGGACUUGUGGGAAGUGAGAAUGUUGGUAUGAGUAGCGAAAAGAAAGGUGAGAAUCCUUUCCACCGAAAGCAUAAGGAUUCCUGAGCAACGAUCGUCGUCUCAGGGUAAGUCGGGACCUAAUCCGAGGCAGAGAGCGUAGGAGAUGGACAACUGGUUGAUAUUCCAGUACCGGUAGUAAUUGUUUGAGCAAUGGAGUGACACAGAAGGGCAGGCAAGCAUGCGAAUGGAAGAGCAUGUGUAAGCGUGUAGGGUGGUGCAUAGGCAAAUCCGUGCACUGAAAGCCUGAGGCGUGAUGCGGAGUGAGCAGAGAUGCGAGCGAAGUUGUUGACCCCACACUGUCGAGAAAAGCUUCUAGUGAGAGAGCUACCGCCCGUACCGUAAACCGACACAGGUAUGCGGGGAGAGAAUCCUAAGGUGCGCGGGAGAACCCUCGUUAAGGAACUCGGCAAAAUGUACCCGUAACUUCGGGAUAAGGGUAGCCACUGUUGUGAAGUCCCACGCGGAUGGAGCAUAGAGUGGUCGCAGAGAAGAGGCCCAAGCGACUGUUUACCAUAAACACAGGUGCCUGCUAAAGCGAAAGCUGACGUAUAGGUGCUGACACCUGCCCAGUGCCGGAAGGUUAAGGAAGGAUGUUCGGAUUAGUCCAAAGCAUUCGACUGAAGCCCCGGUGAACGGCGGCCGUAACUAUAACGGUCCUAAGGUAGCGAAAUUCCUUGUCGGGUAAG
rnacentral:rRNA from 1 species